UCAUGGGAUAAGGCCCUUCUCUCUGGCCUCCUCUCCAACCUGCAGUUCCCUGUCCAUCUUGGCCAAGUUCAUCUGAUUUGCAGAUGGGGAGCCUGCCUGGCACGAAUCCUAUGGUCCCUGCUUCCUUUGGGAAAUCAAGAGCAAAGCUCCCUCCCAACUCAUGGUGUUCCCCGAGCAGAAUAGAGGCCGGCUGUGUGCGUUGAAGAAAUGAAUGAAGUGAUUGGGAGCUGAGUGCCGGCGGAGACCGGCCCCCCUGGGCAUAUGUGAAAACCUGAGGACCCCACUGAACUUUCAAAAUCCAAAGAAGAGAAUCCUGAGGAAAGAUCUGUAUCAUUUGCUGGGGUGUAAGAUGUGCAAGGAUAUUAACAAUUUAACAAACACGUAUCAAAGGGAGGUAUAAGUACGAUUUUCCAUGAUAAUUUUCUAUUGGAAGCAUGAAUGAUACAUAGACAUAUAUUUUCUUGAUCUGGUUUAGUAAAGUAUUAUUAAUAUUAGAUAACCAAAUUCCUACUGUAACCCAGAGGGCUAAAUUGUAUGAACAAUGUUGUCUGAUGUCCUGGUUGCCAGGCACUGUGGACAGCCACCCCUACAUCCUCCCCACCUCUUCUUCCUGGCCCUCUCCAGGCAGAUGGGAUGGAAACUCAGAACUUGACUGACAUUCCCAGCCUCCUUUGAAGUUCUGAACCACCUCAGGGCUCCUCACCAGAAUCAGCUCUCGGGAGCCAGGCUUCUCUAACUCAGAGCCAGUGCAGGCUUCAGGCCCCACAUCUCCUGCUCGGCCUCCUCUGGCCUCGGUUGAUGAGAUGGAAGCUCCCUCCCCUGCCUCCCUGCGCCCAGGCUCACAAACCUGUCACUGGAUGUCUUUAUUUAGUGAGCUUUCCUGCCCAAGCCUGCUUCCAGGGCAGGAUGUAUUGAUACAAAAUCCAUCAGGAGGUGUGUCUGGGCAUUUAAUCAAUGAGGCUGCAGGGAGCCCCGCGUGACUCAGAGGGUGCCGGGAGUGAAGGCCAGGCGAGGAGAGCAUCCAGAGUGGGCAGAAGGGUGGUUUUUAUUUUUGAUCCUGUAAUGUCAGGCUCCAGCAAUUAGUUGUCUAUUCCCUGUAAUGCUGGCACUGCAGCAGAAUUCCACCGCAACCUGGAUAUUUGCCCAGGUACUCAUUUUAUAACUCCCAUGUUCAUUCAAUAAAUACCCUACCUGUA
rnacentral:lncRNA from 1 species